UACGUAGGGUGCGAGCGUUAAUCGGAAUUACUGGGCGUAAAGCGUGCGCAGGCGGUUUUGUAAGCCAGAUGUGAAAGCCCCGGGCUUAACCUGGGAAUGGCAUUUGGGACUGCAAGGCUUGAGUGCGGCAGAGGAGACUGGAAUUCCUGGUGUAGCAGUGAAAUGCGUAGAGAUCGGGAGGAACACCAGAGGCGAAGGCGGCGACCUGGACAAUUACUGGACACUCAACUGCGAAAGCGUGGGGAGCAAACAGGG
rnacentral:rRNA from 1 species